CAUGCAAGUCGAACGAGCAAGAGAGAGCUUGCUUUCUCGAGCGAGUGGCGAACGGGUGAGUAACGCGUGAGGAACCUGCCUCAAAGAGGGGGACAACAGUUGGAAACGACUGCUAAUACCGCAUAAGCCCACGACCCGGCAUCGGGAAGAGGGAAAAGGAGCAAUCCGCUUUGAGAUGGCCUCGCGUCCGAUUAGCUAGUUGGUGAGGUAACGGCCCACCAAGGCGACGAUCGGUAGCCGGACUGAGAGGUUGAACGGCCACAUUGGGACUGAGACACGGCCCAGACUCCUACGGGAGGCAGCAGUGGGGAAUAUUGCACAAUGGGGGAAACCCUGAUGCAGCGACGCCGCGUGGAGGAAGAAGGUCUUCGGAUUGUAAACUCCUGUUGUUGAGGAAGAUAAUGACGGUACUCAACAAGGAAGUGACGGCUAACUACGUGCCAGCAGCCGCGGUAAAACGUAGGUCACGAGCGUUGUCCGGAAUUACUGGGUGUAAAGGGAGCGCAGGCGGGAAGACAAGUUGGAAGUGAAAUCCAUGGGCUCAACCCAUGAACUGCUUUCAAAACUGUUUUUCUUGAGUAGUGCAGAGGUAGGCGGAAUUCCCGGUGUAGCGGUGGAAUGCGUAGAUAUCGGGAGGAACACCAGUGGCGAAGGCGGCCUACUGGGCACCAACUGACGCUGAGGCUCGAAAGUGUGGGUAGCAAACAGGAUUAGAUACCCUGGUAGUCCACACCGUAAACGAUGAUUACUAGGUGUUGGAGGAUUGACCCCUUCAGUGCCGCAGUUAACACAAUAAGUAAUCC
rnacentral:rRNA from 1 species